GCAGCAGCCGCGGUAAUACGUAGGUGGCGAGCGUUGUCCGGAAUUACUGGGCGUAAAGGGUGCGUAGGCGGAGUAUUAAGUCAGAUGUGAAAUCCCCGGGCUCAACUCGGGAGUGGCAUUUGAAACUGGUAAUCUAGAGUGCAGGAGAGGAAAGCGGAAUUCCUAGUGUAGCGGUGAAAUGCGUAGAUAUUAGGAAGAACACCAGUGGCGAAGGCGGCUUUCUGGACUGUAACUGACGCUGAGGCACGAAAGCGUGGGGAGCAAACAGGAUUAGAUACCCUGGUAGUCCACGCUGUAAACUAUGAGUGCUAGGUGUAGGGGGUAUCGACACCCUCUGUGCCGCAGCAAACGCAAUAAGCACUCCGCCUGGGGAGUACGGUCGCAAGACUAAAACUUAAAGGAAUUGGCGGGGGAU
rnacentral:rRNA from 1 species